AAGAAUGGUCACAAAAGCUAUAUAGGUUCCAAAUGAUCUAUAUACAGACAAAAAUCUCUGCCCUAUGGCACUGAGAUAUGAAGCUAUCCUCUUUUCAUGUGAAUGAUCAGGAUUGUGGUCUCUAUUGGUGGAAGAGGCAUAAACUGACAACAGGACUGAUUUGUUUAACCCAGCUUUUAAAAUGCUAAAUCCCACAGGAGGACAAGGUGUGUGCUGCACAAUGGCUGAAAACGAGAAUAAUGUAUCAAAGCCAUGGUUAUGAACUGCACAGAAGCAUGCAAGCACUGCUAUCUCGAGGAAAUCGUAAUAGCUAUCGCUUU
rnacentral:misc_RNA from 1 species